UACGGAGGAUGCAAGCGUUAUCCGGAAUGAUUGGGCGUAAAGCGUCCGCAGGUGGCAAUGUAAGUCUGCUGUCAAAGCGUCUGGCUCAACCAGAUAAAGGCAGUGGAAACUACAUAGCUAGAGUAAGGUAGGGGUAGAGGGAAUUCCUGGUGUAGCGGUGAAAUGCGUAGAGAUCAGGAAGAACACCGGUGGCGAAAGCGCUCUGCUGGACCUUAACUGACACUGAGGGACGAAAGCUAGGGGAGCGAAGGGG
rnacentral:rRNA from 1 species